rnacentral:rRNA from 1 species
UUCCGGUUGAUCCUGGCGGAGGUCACUGCUAUCGGGGUUCGAUUAAGCCAUGCGAGUCGAGAGGGUUCGGCCCUCGGCGUACUGCUCAGUAACACGUGGAUAACCUGCCCUAAGGAAGGGGAUAACCCCGGGAAACUGGGGAUAAUACCCUAUAGGUUACAGAUGCUGGAAUGCUCUGUAACCGAAAGCUCCGGCGCCUUAGGAUGGAUCUGCGGCCGAUUAGGUUGUUGUCGGGGUAACGGCCCAACAAGCCAGUAAUCGGUACGGGUUGUGGGAGCAAGAGCCCGGAGUUGGAUUCUGAGACACGAAUCCAGGCCCUACGGGGCGCAGCAGGCGCGAAAACUUUACAAUGCGGGCAACCGUGAUAAGGGAACCUCGAGUGCCUGUAUAUGCAGGCUGUCUGGGUGUCUAAAACACACCUAAAGAAAGGGCCGGGCAAGACCGGUGCCAGCCGCCGCGGUAAUACCGGCGGCUCGAGUGGUGGCCACUUUUAUUGGGCUUAAAGCGUUCGUAGCUGGGUUAUUAAGUCCCUUGGGAAAUCCGACGGCUUAACCGUCGGGCGUCUAAGGGAUACUGGUAAUCUUGGAACCGGGAGAGGUGAGGGGUACUUCGGGGGUAGGAGUGAAAUCCUGUAAUCCUCGAGGGACCACCUGUGGCGAAAGCGCCUCACCAGAACGGCUUCGACAGUGAGGGACGAAAGCUGGGGGGAGCAAACCGGAUUAGAUACCCGGGUAGUCCCAGCCGUAAACGAUGUGCGCUAGGUGUAUCGGUGACCACGAGUCACCGAGGUGCCGAAGGGAAACCGUGAAACGUACCGCCUGGGAAGUACGGUCGCAAGGCUGAACUUUAAGGAAUUGGCGGGGGGGACAC